CACCUGUUGCCAAAAUGUCACGGUGCUUUGAUUUGUUACUUAUUGAUGAUGAACUGAGUCAUUGUUGGAUUGAAUCACGACCACGGUAUUCACGAGUAUCCUAGAGUAGGUUAUGUAUUAAUGCUGAUUAUUUGAAGAUAAAUCCAUGGUUUGAAGUGACAGCGACGCUCUGCAGCGACUCAGUGCUGAGAUAAAUCAUUGUAGAAUUGAUUUGCGGAAUUAGAUUUACACCAGCUGGUUUUAGCCCAUUGUCAAGUAGACUGAACCUGUGCAAGCACUGACACUCCAACAGCUGAUAAGGAGUGUAAAUUUCAAUUAAACACAAUUUAAGUUUUAGAUGAGUUCGUCAGAGUAUUUAAUUCAUUUCACCACAUGGGAUCUUUAAAUUUAAUACUGUCACAUUAAUAAAUAACAUCAGCCUCUCUGUUUGCUCCUCUCGAGGGCUGAAGCAUUUGUCAAACUGCAUUUGAUAUGUGCAGUAAGAGCAGCUUUGUUAGCGAGGCCAACAGCAAAAAGGACUUGGAAAACUAAGCAAAGACAAAUUUCCAUCCAAACACAACAUGCAUGUGUUGAACAAAUCAAAUCGUGUAGAUAUAAAGAUUGAUUGUAAAAGAACAAAAACUCAUCACAAUGCAGGAAAAAUACAGUAUUUGCCUAAAAAUAUUUUGAAAACAGGAAAGUAAAUUUAAAUAAUCAUUUAGUCAGGAAUAAUGUUCUUAGCAUUACUGCAUGUGUUUGACAAAAUCAACCCAUUUGCACAUUUUAAUGGAAAAACAUGUCGGUCUCAGAGAAAUAAUUGUGUUAGGAAUUCAUCUUUUAAAUGUACCAGUUCACGUGCACUUUAACUUCUGUUCUGCCGUGAGGGAAAAAAAGUGUUCCUUCUUUUAAUUUGCAGCGUUGUCCCUUGAAUUUGUCUGAAUGUUUUAUUAAGUAACUAUAAUUCAGACCAGCAAACUGCUACAAAAGGCUCAUUAGGGACUGCAGUUGAGUCAAAUUAUUUUGGCAUUUUGUCUGAAAAACAAACGGAACAACUACCAAAUCUGUUUGAGUUUAUUUUUUUAAUCUUACAGGCUAUAAUUAGACCUUGAAAUGACACAUUCACAAUGCAGAAGAUUAAAACAAAAAACAGUCGUUUUAUGAUGCUGUAGCUUGGACUUUAAGGUAGCAUGGCUCUGUUGCUGUAAUUUCAUAAUAUCUCAAACUGACAGCAGUUUACAGCUGAUGAAUGUUACACAUCUUAGUAGACUAGCGUAUCCAUUUUUGGGGAGAGGGGAGGGGUCUUGGUUUAAGAAAAUAAACAAAAAAGAAAAAAGUCAACCUGGAAGGUGUUGACAUUUGUAGUGUACUACCGUAUCCAUUUAAACUUGAAUCUCGAGGCAAGUGCUAGGCAAUGGCCAACUCAUUACCCCCCCCCCCCCAGUCUGUUCCUGUUGGGAGGGUGGGGGGAAAUCCACCCUGAAACUGGCAUCACAUUUUUCUGUUGUCUUGGGUGUGAAUCUGAGCUGGGGAAUCAGAUGAGAAACAUUCCGUGCUCUGCUCCAUUUCCAAUGAAUUAGACUGACUUUGAAGGCUUAUUGAAUGUUCUUAAACAUUUAUACCCAAAAGAGGUUUGUUCCUAGAGGUGCUAACGGUUCCAAAGCAGAAGAUAUGUCCUUAUCUCUGACAGAGAGAGAGAGAGAGAUCCCCGAGUCCGAAAACAUCACAUAAUUAGAGUCUAGAUGGAGAUCAGUUCAUGCUCACAAGUUCAGACUGAACUCUGCAAGGUGACAGAAAUAUUACUGAACUGUUUCAGGGUGAAUUCCCUCUUGAGUCCAAACCAUUUCCAUCUCACACAAGUCGUUACGAAAUAUAUAUAAAUGUGGUUGCAGUGUAUGUGUAUAGAUUUAUAUAUAUUUGUGGUUUUUACUCGGCCUUUGUUUGACCUUGUCUGCCGGACCGGAGAGCCCAGCAGCAGAAGCCGGGUUCAUACGGUGAAACAGUCUUCACAAGCUUAUAUGUUCACCCCUGGCGUGUCGUCGAGCUCCAUGCAGACAGCAUGUCGUCAAGGGGAAUCCAGACACGCGUUUCAGCCUGCGUGGAUGGCAGUGUGAGGCCAUAGCGACCCCUGUCUGCCAUCUGCCCAUUCCUAACACUUGCCCCUUUUUUUUAUGUUAACCUACUUUUUAUGGUGAGAGACAGACAGACUUGACUGACAUCUGAAAGCAUCUUUCAGGUUAUCAUAUGGCUUGCUUAAGCCCUGUUGUAAAAUAUACAAAAAAAGUAAUAAUAAUAAUGGAUGGGGGUCUCUCACAUAUCAAAUGUGGAAAGUCUAAUUUUAUAUUUGUAUUUUCAAAUACUACUAUUGACAAAAAAAUGUCUGUGAAAGGUUUCCAUCCUCUACUGUGGUCCAGAAAUUGAUGUGUCUGUCUGGAAAAUAAAUAAAAUAAACUGAAUUGUUAUAUUA